UUACGGUCCAGGGAAGUAUGUUGCAAAGCUGAAACUUAAAGGAAUUGACGGAAGGGCACCACCAGGAGUGGAGCCUGCGGCUUAAUUUGACUCAACACGGGAAAACUCACUGGUCCGGACANUGGAAGGAUUGACAGAUUGAAAGCUCUUUCUUGAUUCAGUGGGUGGUGGUGCAUGNCCGUUCUUAGUUGGUGGAGUGAUUUGUCUGGUUAAUUCCGAUAACGAACGAGACUCUAGCCUGCUAACUAGUUCGCCGACAGCUCGUUGUCGCGCGGCGCCAUUUCGGUGGCAAACUUCUUAGAGGGACAGGUGGCGUAUAGCCACACGAAGUAGAGCAAUAACAGGUCUGUGAUGCCCUUAGAUGUCCAGGGCCGCACGCGCGCUACACUGAAAGAAUCAACGUGGAUGCCCACCUGCUCCGAGAGGAGUGGGAAACCCGAUGAAUCUCUUUCGUGAUGGGGAUUGGGGCUUGUAAUUAUUCCCCAUGAACGAGGAAUUCCCAGUAAGCGUCAGUCAUCAGCUGGCGUUGAUUACGUCCCUGCCCUUUGUACACACCGCCCGUCGCUACUACCGAUUGAAUGGUUUAGUGAGACCCUCGGACUGGAANCCGUUUGCUGCUUUCGGGUGGCGGACGGGGACGGAAAGACGGUCGAACUUGAUCAUUUAGAGGAAGUAAAAGUCGUAACAAGUUUCCGUAG
rnacentral:rRNA from 1 species